ensembl:lncRNA
GUUCAUUCUCACGUCAUCUCUCCGCUCGCCCGCGCUUGUCUCCGUCUACGCUUCGAAACAUCAAGACAAAUUAUCUUACUGAGACUAAAGAAAAACUCCUCUGGCAGCACACGUGUAAAUGUUAUUAGUGUUGCCCAAAUUGUAGACUUGUAGUGUGGUGCAAAUUUAAAAAGUCUGUCUGGAACUGACACUACACUAGAAGUGAAGUGACAAGCUUUAAAAAAUAAUGAGCACAUGGAGUACUAUUUAAAGCCUUGUGUGGGCACAAAACAGAGACUAUAUAAUUCAAUGUAGCCGUAGAGCUCCCAUCAUAUAUUCCAGUGAAAUCAAAAUAAAAUAUUUUAUUUCAUACCCAAAAACAUUUUUUCCCUUUGACUGGUGUCGUCAUUAUUAAUCUCAACUUUAGCCUUUCCUGUGGUAUGAGGAAAGUGUGCUAGAGUCCUUGAAGGCCUCUUUAGUAUAAUGAUUGAUGUGCAUCUAAAUGUCAGUUGUCACAGCAAAAGAGCAGCUGUAUAGUGUCACGAGAUUGACGUAAUGGAGGUUAGGAUGGAUGCAAAUGCAGAUAAGAGUUUAUCUAGAGAGAGACAGGCAGACCAAUCCAAAACAUGUAACAAGCAAGGUCAAGAAACAGGCAAUGGGUCAGGCGAUUGUCAAGCAGGCAUAAAAAUGGCAAGGUAAGAAUCAAGAAUGAGAAACAAGAAGCAAAAUCAAUGGACAUGAAACAAAAUGAGGAACAGGGUACAAACGCUUGGUAUGGUGAUAACACUCAAUAUUUCGCAAAGUCAUUGUGUUCAAACUGUCUCUCUAUACUGUGGUUGUGAGUGCUGUGAAUUUGAUGCAGGAGUGCAUGAUUAGAAUGAAUGUGAGUGUUCUGGGAAUUGCCGUCCAUGGUGGCCAUGUUUGUAGGCUGCAGUGCAGGAUGGGAAAUGUAGUCACUGGUUUGCUGUGAUAUGACAUAUAGGUUACAUGAGAAUGUGAAAGAGAGCAGCUCAGGAAAACUGCAGCUGCAUGCUGGUUUUAAAUACAGUCGUGAAAAAAACAAGUAUACCCCAUUUAAAUCGUUGGCUUUUUUGACAUAUUUGGACAAGCAAACAUUUGAUAAUCUUUGAAACAGAGCCUAUUAAUGACUUCAUUAAUGGCUUCAGUCAUUAAUCAGCCUAUUAAUGACUCUGUUUCAAACAUGAUCAAAUGUUAGAACAAUAUACUUGAACAAAACCACAAGUACAAUUAGCUUUUUCAAUCAUUUAUUCAACAGAAAUAUCAUUAGAUGUGAUAUCCAUCUGUGGAAAAAGUCAAUACACCAUGGGCCUCAGAAGCUAGUUUUGCCCCCUUUAGCAGAAAUAACAUAUUGUAUGCAUUUUGCAUAGUUGUCCACUAGGUUUGCUGGAAUUUUUUGACCACUCUUCCAUACAAUAUUCUUUCAGUCGCACAAUGUUUGCGGGUUUUCAUGCAGGUACUGCCCAUUUCAAAUCCCCCCAGUUUUUCUGAUAAAACUGAAAUGGAGAUUGGAUACUCACCAUUCCAACGCAGGGCUUUUAACUGCCAUCAACAACUCUGUGACUUGAGUUCUGUCAGAUGCUUGGAAUUACUCGUCAUCAAUGAUGAUACACAGCUCAUCCAGAAUAUGCCUGAAUACUCACUGUUCAGUAACUGGUGUUAUCCUCUGCAUCUGGUCUAACAACAGGGCUCCACUUAAGUCCAAGUCCCUGUCUAUAGUUGAUAUAUCUCAACAGCGAUGACCAGCACCAUAAUUAGCAGCUCAACCCUGAUGUUUCACUUCGUCAUUUUGCUCUUCUGAUCUGUUCCUCCGAUAAAGCCUCAUACAUGAACAGAAAAAUCACAAAAUCUAACAAAAACCUCAAUAUGUUACUACUCGUUGAAACCUGGCAAGUACCCAAUGAUUAUUUGCAGCAGAACCUACUUAUACCACAUGGAUAUAAUCACCUUUCCCGACCAUGGCUACACAGCAAGGUGGGUGGCCUUGCUGUCAUCAAUCAAAAUGAUUUGCAUUUCACCCAACUAAACUUUCACAACACUAAUACAUUAUGUAUUAGUGGUAUACAAUACAAUAUGUGGUAUUGAAGGCUGUUUCUCACUGUCCUCUCACAAUUAUUCUAUUAUAUCAUCCUCCUAAGGCUCAAUCAGACUUUUUCUCCAAACUCAUUGAACUGUUAACUCUUGCCUGUGCUUCGUCAUCACGUGUCCUCUUGCUUGGUGAUGUUAAAAUUCAUGUGGAUACAAUGGGCUCUAACUCAUCUCAACUAUUG